CACGUAGGGCGCAAGCGUUGUCCGGAAUUAUUGGGCGUAAAGAGCUCGUAGGCGGUCUGUUACGUCCGCUGUGAAAACCCGGGGCUUAACCCCUGGCUUGCAGUGGAUACGGACAGACUAGAGGUAGGUAGGGGAGAAUGGAAUUCCCGGUGUAGCGGUGAAAUGCGCAGAUAUCAGGAGGAACACCGGUGGCGAAGGCGGGUCUCUGGGCCGAUAUUGACGCUGAGGAGCGAAAGCGUGGGGAGCGAACAGG
rnacentral:rRNA from 1 species